UACGUAGGGGGCGAGCGUUGUCCGGAUUUAUUGGGCGUAAAAGGCUUGUAGGUGGCCAUGCGAAGUCGGAUGUGAAAUCUCCCGGCUCAACUGGGAGGGGUCAUUCGAUACUGGCAGGCUCGAGGCCGGUAGGGGGUAGCGGAAUUCCCGGUGUAGUGGUGGAAUGCGUAGAUAGUCGGGAGGAACACCAGUGGCGAAGGGCGGC
rnacentral:rRNA from 1 species